rnacentral:lncRNA from 1 species
GAGAGCACCGCGGCUACCUGGCUUCCCUGAGUCCCGGCUGCCGGGAACGGGCGCGGGGGUGAAUAGUAAGUGGCAGCACUGUGGAAUGGGGAACAGAUGGAAGAAUGAGCAGCUGGGAGGCACACUCUUGCAAAAACCCAGGAACCGGAGGGCUGAGAUCUCAGAGAAUGUACAACCACCCAAGAACACCACCAAGAUGAGGCGCAGGGACUCA